rnacentral:rRNA from 1 species
AUACGGAGGGUGCAAGCGUUAUUCGGAAUCACUGGGCGUAAAGGACGCGUAGGCGGGUUGGCAAGUCAGAUGUGAAAUCCUACAGCUUAACUGUAGAACUGCAUUUGAAACUGCUAACCUAGAGUAUGGGAGGGGGGGAUGGAAUUAGUGGUGUAGGGGUAAAAUCCGUAGAUAUCACUAGGACUACCGAAAGCGAAGGCGAUCUCCUGGAACAUAACUGACGCUAAGGCGUGAAAGCGUGGGGAGCAAACAGGAUUAGAAACCCCAGUAGUCC